rnacentral:rRNA from 1 species
AGAGUUUGAUCCUGGCUCAGGAUGAACGCUAGCUACAGGCUUAACACAUGCAAGUCGAGGGGCAGCAUCAUCAAAGCUUGCUUUGAUGGAUGGCGACCGGCGCACGGGUGAGUAACACGUAUCCAACCUGCCACAACACUGGGAUAGCCUUUCGAAAGAAAGAUUAAUACCGGAUGGUAUAGUUUUCCCGCAUGGGAUGAUUAUUAAAAGAAAUUUCGGUUGUUCGAUGGGGAUGCGUUCCAUUAGGC